rnacentral:tRNA from 1 species
GGCGCAGUGGCCAAGUGGUAAGGCUUUGGUCUCGUAAACCGAAGAUCAUGAGUUUAAUCCCCGUCUGUGCCU